UUCCAGACUCCUACGGGAGGCAGCAGUGGGGAAUAUUGCACAAUGGGGGGAACCCUGAUGCAGCGACGCCGCGUGGGUGAAGGAGUACUUCGGUACGUAAAGCCCUAUCAGCAGGAAAGAAAAUGACGGUACCUGACUAAGAAGCCCCGGCUAACUACGUGCCAGCAGCCGCGGUAAUACGUAGGGGGCAAGCGUUAUCCGGAUUUACUGGGUGUAAAGGGAGCGUAGACGGCAGUGCAAGUCUGGAGUGAAAGGCGGGGGCUCAACCCCCGGACUGCUCUGGAAACUGUACGGCUGGAGUGCAGGAGAGGUAAGUGGAAUUCCUAGUGUAGCGGUGAAAUGCGUAGAUAUCAGGAGGAACACCGGUGGCGAAGGCGGCCUGCUGGACUGCAACUGACGUUGAGGCCCGAAAGCGUGGGGAGCAAACAGGAUUAGAUACCCGUGUA
rnacentral:rRNA from 1 species